GAUGAACGCUGGCGGCGUGCCUAAUACAUGCAAGUCGAGCGAACAGAUAAGGAGCUUGCUCCUUUGACGUUAGCGGCGGACGGGUGAGUAACACGUGGGUAACCUACCUAUAAGACUGGGAUAACUUCGGGAAACCGGAGCUAAUACCGGAUAACAUUUGGAACCGCAUGGUUCUAAAGUGAAAGAUGGUUUUGCUAUCACUUAUAGAUGGGCCCGCGCCGUAUUAGCUAGUUGGUAAGGUAACGGCUUACCAAGGCGACGAUACGUAGCCGACCUGAGAGGGUGAUCGGCCACACUGGAACUGAGACACGGUCCAGACUCCUACGGGAGGCAGCAGUAGGGAAUCUUCCGCAAUGGGCGAAAGCCUGACGGAGCAACGCCGCGUGAGUGAUGUAGGGUUUCGGCUCGUAAAACUCUGUUAUUAGGGAAGAACAAAUGUGUAAGUAACUGUGCACGUCUUGACGGUACCUAAUCAGAAAGCCACGGCUAACUACGUG
rnacentral:rRNA from 1 species